AUGACCCUGUUGGAGUCCGGGGGGGACCUCCAGCCCCCCGGGGGGUCCCUGACUCUGCUCUGCCUCGUGUCUGGAUUCAAUUUUGGGAGUUCUGAGAUGAGAUGGAUCCGCCAGAGCCCCGGGAAGGGGCUGGAGUUGGUGGCGCUGAUCAGCGGCGAUGGAGGUCACACCUUCUACGGGGCAGCGCUCCAGGGCCGGGUCUCCAUCUCCAGGGACAACGGGCAGAGCUCGGUGACACUGACCAUGAACAACCUCAAGGAGGAGGAUUCUGGUGUCUAUUUCUGUGCCAAAUCUGUGGACAGUUGUUGUGCUGGCAUUGCUGCUGUGGAUGAUGUUGGCAGCUUUGGUUGCGUCCCCACCUGUCCCCAAACGUCCCCAGACCCUUCCCAAAAUCUCCAAUCCUUGAUCUCGUUUAUUUAG